rnacentral:rRNA from 1 species
AGAGUUUGAUCCUGGCUCAGGAUGAACGCUGGCGGCGUGCCUAACACAUGCAAGUCGAGCGAUUUACUUCGGUAAAGAGCGGCGGACGGGUGAGUAACGCGUGGGUAACCUGCCCUGUACACACGGAUAACAUACCGAAAGGUAUGCUAAUACGAGAUAAUAUGCUUUUAUCGCAUGGUAGAAGUAUCAAAGCUUUUGCGGUACAGGAUGGACCCGCGUCUGAUUAGCUAGUUGGUAAGGUAACGGCUUACCAAGGCGACGAUCAGUAGCCGACCUGAGAGGGUGAUCGGCCACAUUGGAACUGAGACACGGUCCAAACUCCUACGGGAGGCAGCAGUGGGGAAUAUUGCACAAUGGGCGAAAGCCUGAUGCAGCAACGCCGCGUGAGCGAUGAAGGCCUCCGGGUCGUAAAGCUCUGUCCUCAAGGAAGAUAAUGACGGUACUUGAGGAGGAAGCCCCGG